rnacentral:rRNA from 1 species
GUACACUCCUACGGGAGGCAGCAGUGGGGAAUUUUGGACAAUGGGCGAAAGCCUGAUCCAGCAAUGCCGCGUGCAGGAUGAAGGCCUUCGGGUUGUAAACUGCUUUUGUACGGAACGAAAAAGCUCCUUCUAAUACAGGGGGCCCAUGACGGUACCGUAAGAAUAAGCACCGGCUAACUACGUGCCAGCAGCCGCGGUAAUACGUAGGGUGCGAGCGUUAAUCGGAAUUACUGGGCGUAAAGCGUGCGCAGGCGGUUAUGUAAGACAGAUGUGAAAUCCCCGGGCUCAACCUGGGAACUGCAUUUGUGACUGCAUGGCUAGAGUACGGUAGAGGGGGAUGGAAUUCCGCGUGUAGCAGUGAAAUGCGUAGAUAUGCGGAGGAACACCGAUGGCGAAGGCAAUCCCCUGGACCUGUACUGACGCUCAUGCACGAAAGCGUGGGGAGCAAACAGGAUUAGAAACCCGAGUAGUCCCAUGA